GGACUACCCGGGUUUCUAAUCCUGUUUGCUCCCUAUGCUUUCGCACCUCAGCGUCAGUAUCCAGCCAGGAGUCCGCCUUCGCCACCGGUGUUCUUCCUAAUAUCAACAGAUUUCACCCCUACACUAGGAAUUCCGACUCCCCCUCCAAUACUCUAGCUUGACAGUUUCCAGCGCGUUUCCCGAGUUGAGCCCGGAGAUUUCACACCAGACUUGUCAGGCCGCCUGCGUGCCCUUUACGCCCAAUAAUUCCGAACAACGCUCGCCCCUUACGUGUUACCGCGGCUGCUGGCAC
rnacentral:rRNA from 1 species